rnacentral:rRNA from 1 species
UACGUAGGGGGCAAGCGUUGUUCGGAAUUACUGGGCGUAAAGGGCUCGUAGGCGGCCAACUAAGUCGGACGUGAAAUCCCUCAGCUUAACUGGGGAACUGCGUCUGAUACUGGAUGGCUUGGAUUUGGGAGAGGGAUGCGGAAUUCCAGGUGUAGCGGUGAAAUGCGUAGAUAUCUGGAGGAACACCGGUGGCGAAGGCGGCAUCCUGGACCAACAUUGACGCUGAGGAGCGAAAGCCAGGGGAGCAAACGGG